CAACGUUCUCAGGGCGGGGUGCAAUUCCCCACCGGCGGUAAUGGCGCGCAACACGCCUAGCCCGCGAGCGCUUGACGAGUUGGACGGUCACGGCCGUCCGCCUCCAAGGUCAGCAGACCCGGUGUGAUUCCGGGGCCGACGGUCAUAGUCCGGAUGAAGAGAGAACGGGA
rnacentral:ncRNA from 1 species